UGUUGUUAUUGACUUUGCAUAAUGGCGUACGUUUGGAGACGUAUCAUUAAUAAUUGUGUUUUAUUUCCAUUUUCGCGUUUACGUAAAAGCCAUCAGGUGAAAACGAACGUGAAUUUGGCUUCUGUUUAUUCCGAAGGUGCCGUAGGAAUAAUUGCAAACAUGCAAUGCGAUGCGUUUAAUGCAGCAAUAAGUGUAUAAUUUAUUGCAAGUCACCAACGAGAAAUUAAAAAUGGCCGAUAAACUGUAUAGCCCAGAAAAAAUAAAAUAAAGUAGGCAGUUCUUUCUCGGCUGUUCAACGUUGGACUUACUGUCUUCUGCAGUUUUUGCUGUUGUCGUGAAAUGCCUUUCUUAGGGGACGAUGGGGAUCUCCAAUUCAUUUAGGGUGCCUAAUUGGUUAAAUCAAAAAGGAGGAGGACAAUCAACAAGAAGGAUACACAUAGGAAUACAUCUCGUUCUGCCUCUGCUAAACGAUCUUUCCAUUAGCAGUUGAACCUACAGAGACAGCGUAAUUUCUUCUGAAGUUUUAAGGUGUCUAGAGGUCUCAUCUUGGAGGAACAUUAGAAGCACUCCAGUUGUCAUUAAAUAAUGGAGCAUAGGUUGUGUCAGUCCUCCAUUGCUUUAGAAGGCAGUUGUACCUAUGGCCCUGAAGAGAGUAUGAAAAUGCAAUUUCUUCAUUAGGAAUGGAGGCACUGUGCUGUUGUUGCAGAAAGGAUUUACAACAAUGAACUGAUAUGGCAGAUCCAUAACAGCAUAAUUAAUGUGGAACUAAUUUUAUCAGUGUGAAUAUCACCUAUUUACUUGCUUUAAAAGGGGUAAUUAAUUUGUUUUUCUUGCCCAUUUCUAUAGAUUGCCCAUUAAAUGAGAAGGAAUUGCAGUUAAUUUUGGUGCUACUGAAACAACCAAUUCUUUUGAUAUCUUCACCUUGCAACAUUUUGCAGUUAAUUUUGGCCCUGAGAAUAGGAUGCAAUUGAAAUUAUUUAGAAGUUACUGAAAGGACAAAUUGUCAGCUGUGACAUCUCUUCCAGAUUUUGUUUGGUCUUCGUACUAGUAGAUUUUAGAACGCUACUUUCUACAGUUAAUUAAGAUUGUUCAACAAGUGAGAGGGAGUUGAAGUUUAUUUUGGUCGUACUGAAACAACCAUUGUCUACAUGGGUGUGGUCUUUGGUGAACUAUAUUCUUUGAUUUGCGCUGAAAUAAGGAAUUUUCUGCUUUGGCAUUAUUCCUGGAUUUGGUUUGCUUUUCACAUCUGCAAACUAUGGAACAUUACAGUUAAUUAAGGUGAGAGAAUACUUGAUAUAA